rnacentral:rRNA from 1 species
UUUUGGGGAGAGAGAGAUUUUUACUGGCUCAGAUUGAACGCUGGCGGCAGGCCUAACACAUGCAAGUCGAGCGGAUGAAGGGAGCUUGCUCCUGGAUUCAGCGGCGGACGGGUGAGUAAUGCCUAGGAAUCUGCCUGGUAGUGGGGGAUAACGUCCGGAAACGGGCGCUAAUACCGCAUACGUCCUGAGGGAGAAAGUGGGGGAUCUUCGGACCUCACGCUAUCAGAUGAGCCUAGGUCGGAUUAGCUAGUUGGUGGGGUAAAGGCCUACCAAGGCGACGAUCCGUAACUGGUCUGAGAGGAUGAUCAGUCACACUGGAACUGAGACACGGUCCAGACUCCUACGGGAGGCAGCAGUGGGGAAUAUUGGACAAUGGGCGAAAGCCUGAUCCAGCCAUGCCGCGUGUGUGAAGAAGGUCUUCGGAUUGUAAAGCACUUUAAGUUGGGAGGAAGGGCAGUAAGUUAAUACCUUGCUGUUUUGACGUUACCAACAGAAUAAGCACCGGCUAACUUCGUGCCAGCAGCCGCGGUAAUACGAAGGGUGCAAGCGUUAAUCGGAAUUACUGGGCGUAAAGCGCGCGUAGGUGGUUCAGCAAGUUGGAUGUGAAAUCCCCGGGCUCAACCUGGGAACUGCAUCCAAAACUACUGAGCUAGAGUACGGUAGAGGGUGGUGGAAUUUCCUGUGUAGCGGUGAAAUGCGUAGAUAUAGGAAGGAACACCAGUGGCGAAGGCGACCACCUGGACUGAUACUGACACUGAGUCGAAACGCUAC